rnacentral:rRNA from 1 species
AGAGUUUGAUCCUGGCUCAGGACGAACGCUGGCGGCGUGCCUAACACAUGCAAGUCGAGCGGAGAUAUUAGCAAUAAUAUCUUAGCGGCGGACGGGUGAGAUUAGCAACAAUAUCUUAGCGGCGGACGGGUGAGUAACGCGUGGGCAACCUGCCUCACACUGGGGGAUAACACAGGGAAACUUGUGCUAAUACCGCAUAACAUCAUGAAAGGACAUCCUUUUAUGAUCAAAGGAGCAAUCCGGUAUGGGAUGGGCCCGCGUCCAAUUAGCUAGUUGGUGAUGUAACGGACCACCAAGGCGACGAUUGGUAGCCGAACUGAGAGGUUGAUCGGCCACAUUGGGACUGAGAUACGGCCCAGACUCCUACGGGAGGCAGCAGUGGGGAAUAUUGCGCAAUGGGGGAAACCCUGACGCAGCAACGCCGCGUGAAGGAUGAAGGUUUUCGGAUCGUAAACUUCUGUCCUUGGGGACGAAAAAUAUUGAGUCAGUUUGACGGUACCCCAAAAACAAGCCACGGCUAACUACGUGCCAGCAGCCGCGGUAAUACGUAGGUGGCGAGCGUUGUCCGGAAUUACUGGGUGUAAAGGGCGUGUAGGCGGGAAUGCAAGUCAGAUGUGAAAUGCCGAGGCUUAACCUCGGAGCUGCAUCUGAAACUGUGUUUCUUGAGUGUCGGAGAGGAAAGUGGAAUUCCCAGUGUAGCGGUGAAAUGCGUAGAUAUUGGGAGGAACACCAGUGGCGAAGGCGACUUUCUGGACGAUAACUGACGCUGAGGCGCGAAAGCGUGGGGAGCAAACAGGAUUAGAUACCCUGGUAGUCCACACCCGUAAACGAUGAGUGCUAGGUGUCGGGGGUAUCGACCCCCUCGGUGCCACAGCUAACGCAAUAAGCACUCCGCCUGGGGAGUACGGUCGCAAGACUGAAACUCAAAGGAAUUGACGGGGGCCCGCACAAGCGGUGGAGUAUGUGGUUUAAUUCGACGCAACGCGAAGAACCUUACCAAGGCUUGACAUCCCGUGACAGCUAUAGAAAUAUGGUCUUUACGAGGAGCCCGGAGACAGGUGGUGCAUGGUUGUCGUCAGCUCGUGUCGUGAGAUGUUGGGUUAAGUCCCGCAACGAGCGCAACCCCUACAGCUAGUUGCCAGCACAUAAAGGGGAACUCUAGCAGAACUGCCGUUGACAAAACGGAGGAAGGUGGGGAUGACGUCAAAUCAUCAUGCCCCUUAUGUCUUGGGCUACACACGUACUACAAUGGCCUGAACAGAGGGAAGCGAAACUGCGAAGUUAAGCGAACCCCUUAAAACAGGUCCCAGUUCGGAUUGUAGGCUGCAACUCGCCUACAUGAAGUUGGAAUCGCUAGUAAUCGCAGGUCAGCAUACUGCGGUGAAUACGUUCCCGGGCCUUGUACACACCGCCCGUCACACCACGAAAGUCGGCAACACCCGAAGCCGGUGACUUAACCCGAAAGGGAGAGAGCCGUCGAAGGUGGGGUCGGUGAUUGGGGUGAAGUCGUAACAAGGUAACC